GGGCUUCUGGGUGGCAUCUUUAUCCCCAAGUGCUACAUCAUCUUGCUGAAACCCGAGAAGAACACUCUUGCCUGGUUAAGGCAAGGACACCAGGUAUCCAGCCUCUGGUUCCUGGGUAUAAGUGCCUUGAGGCACAUAGGAGUGACAAGUACCCUUCACUGAGGACCACCAACUACCAGUGUUCCAUAGAAUGCUCUAACUGUCUCCAACAACCAGACCUAGCAAGCCCUGUCGUACAGAGUGAAAAGUUCAAGAUCAGAACUUGAAAUCCAACCAAUUGUGAGCUUGUUCCCUGCUCUGGACUUGAAAACCCACAAUUCACACCCUGGAAAUCUCCACCAUAGAAAGCUCUGUAGCAGUGAAAAGUUGAUCUACUCUGAGUUCCCAGUAGGUUGGGCUUCUAGCCACCUGCCAGACCUCUCUGGAUUUGCAAAUAAAAAGACACACACAUG